UACGUAGGGGGCAAGCGUUGUCCGGAAUUAUUGGGCGUAAAGCGCGCGCAGGCGGUCAUGUAAGUCUGGUGUUUAAUCCCGGGGCUCAACCCCGGAUCGCACUGGAAACUGUGUGACUUGAGUGCAGAAGAGGAGAGUGGAAUUCCACGUGUAGCGGUGAAAUGCGUAGAUAUGUGGAGGAACACCAGUGGCGAAGGCGACUCUCUGGGCUGUAACUGACGCUGAGGCGCGAAAGCGUGGGGAGCAAACAGG
rnacentral:rRNA from 1 species